AGUUAAAUCGAACGGCUGCGUCUUUAUCAGAGACUCUUCUGCAGUCCAUCCUCUGGCCCUUCUCCUCCUCACUGACUGUAACCUGAUCGAGCGUGCGUAUGGUGAUCGGGUCGAGGUCAUCAUGCCGGGCCGUUCUCUCAUACAGUGGGAACUGUCUGCUCAGAGCUGGGAGCUGCUGUGGCCCUUGCGGACGUCUCUACAGGUUAUGCUACACCGUAACCUCCAACCUUUAACCUCUGACUGUAUUGUGGAAGAGAACAGAAUUCAGGACGGCCAGCUCCUCUCUUUAUUAGUGGACCUUCUGAACAGCACAGAGCCGGAUGCUAACAAUGCAGACUGCAGUGAUGUGGAAUGACGACACGUUUUAUAGCUAAAUUAUAGAAAACUUGCACUUUGUCCCAUCAUUCUGUCUUGUGUUAAUUAAAAAAAUCAUAUAUUCAGUGUGUAUUCAGUGGGUGUUGGAUAUUCAGACAUUCUACACAUGGCUACACUGAUUACAUGCAUAAAAUAAAUUGUUCAUAACUGUGAAGCACUGCAGAAACAGUGGCAUUUUAAUGACCAAGAUAGAUAAUUGUGACAUCCAUUUAAUCAAAAAGCAUAACAGGUGAUAUAACAGUGUAUGAGUUUUCAUCUAUAUGCAAAAUAAAAUGCACACUAUUCUUUA